rnacentral:rRNA from 1 species
UACGGAGGGUGCAAGCGUUAUCCGGAUUCACUGGGUUUAAAGGGUGCGUAGGUGGGCUGUUAAGUCAGUGGUGAAAUCUCCGGGCUCAACCCGGAAACUGCCAUUGAUACUAUCAGUCUUGAAUAUCGUUGAGGUAAGCGGAAUAUGUCAUGUAGCGGUGAAAUGCUUAGAUAUGACAUAGAACACCGAUUGCGAAGGCAGCUAACUACGGGAUUAUUGACACUGAGGCACGAAAGCGUGGGGAUCAAACAGG